UAAAAAUGUUCCUGUCCAAGGACAGCUGGGAAACAUAAAACCACAGAGGGUAUGUAAGAGAUGGACAUUGCUACUGAGGAGUUAGAUUUUGAAGUCUUAUUGCUGGGUUUUCAGAGCCCGAUGUGACCAUAUUUGGUCAAGACGGUGGAGCGCUAAGUUAUCAGCUAAUGCUUGCAGGCUUAGCAAGAUGCAUGGGUGUCAAACACUUGGGGGUCUGGCUAGAAAAGCACAAACUUCUGGGACAGUCAGCACCACACUGCAAGAGAUAUUAUUUCGCAGCUUUUCUACAAGCUGUAAAGAGUUCUUUAAAGGAAGAAAAAACCAAGACUAAGAGUCCUGAUUCCCAGCUUUAAAAUUGAGUGCUGCUUGAGAGCAUGAAGAUCACUGGCAUCCGAGAUUGAGUCUCGGCCUUCUCCAUUGCACACAGAUUUCUCCACAUUUUUGGAAUUUGUUGAUUGUUACCACAAUUUUUUUUUCUUCAAAAAUGUUGAACCUGUGCUCAUAUUUACUUCAGAGAAACACUGCCUCUCUAAGCUACCCUUUUUAUAUCCAGUCAUGUUACUGACCUCCUCUAACUGUAUCCAGCCUUUAGU